GAUGAAGAACGCAGCGAAAUGCGAUAAGUAAUGUGAAUUGCAGAAUUCAGUGAAUCAUCGAAUCUUUGAACGCACAUUGCGCCCGCCAGUAUUCUGGCGGGCAUGCCUGUUCGAGCGUCAUUUCAACCAUCAAGCCCCCCGGCUUGUGUUGGGGACCUGCGGCUGCCGCAGGCCCUGAAAAGCAGUGGCGGGCUCGCUGUCACACCGAGCGUAGUAGCAUACAUCUCGCUCUGGGCGUGCUGCGGGUUCCGGCCGUUAAACCACCUUCAUAACCCAAGGUUGACCUCGGAUCAGGUAGGAAGACCCGCUGAACUUAAGAAUAUCAAUAAGCGGAGGA
rnacentral:misc_RNA from 1 species